GAUGAACGCUGGCGGCGUGCCUAAUACAUGCAAGUCGAGCGAACAGACGAGGAGCUUGCUCCUCUGACGUUAGCGGCGGACGGGUGAGUAACACGUGGAUAACCUACCUAUAAGACUGGGAUAACUUCGGGAAACCGGAGCUAAUACCGGAUAAUAUAUUGAACCGCAUGGGUCAAUAGUGAAAGACGGUUUUGCUGUCACUUAUAGAUGGAUCCGCGCCGCAUUAGCUAGUUGGUAAGGUAACGGCUUACCAAGGCAACGAUGCGUAGCCGACCUGAGAGGGGGAUCGGCCACACUGGAACUGAGACACGGUCCAGACGCCUAAGGGAGGCAGCAGUAGGGAAUCUUCCGCAAUGGGCGAAAGCCUGACGGAGCAACGCCGCGUGAGUGAUGAAGGUCUUCGGAUCGUAAAACUCUGUUAUUAGGGAAGAACAAAUGUGUAAGUAACUAUGCACGUCUUGACGGUACCUAAUCAGAAAGCCACGGCUAACUACGUG
rnacentral:rRNA from 1 species